rnacentral:lncRNA from 1 species
UCUUAGAGUAAGGCUCCGCCUUCAUAUGAUAUUCCCACUAGGAGGGAUCAACUAACCUUGGAUUUUGUCGUAGAAGACUUCAAGUAGGUGAAGUAGUGGCGGAUGCUCAAAGUUGAUGAAGAUCAUCUUGCGUUGGGAGCAAUCCUUGUUGUUUUCAUACUCUUCUCACCUACAUGGGUUUGUCCGAAAGCAAAAAGAACAUAUGAAAGAAUAUCUAUGGAUAUGGAGUGAAGCACACAUGGGAUAAUGUCCAAAGAUGCAUUAAGUACCUUGUUCCUUGCUUACCUUUGAGGGAAUGUGUGACUCCUUGAACUAAUGCAUAUGGUUGAGGUUGAUUGCAAAUAUUCCUUGCCAAAAUGAAUAAGAGUGAAUUUCAUUGGUAGAGUCACCCCUCAAUAACUUCUAGUUCUUCCUCUUGGGAAUCCACACAAAUUGAUGGGAAUCCUUGGAGUUGUGGUAGCACUUGUUGAGGUAGGGCUAGUAGUAUCCUUGGGAAUCCGCUUGACCUUGGCUUGGGAUUCUUCUUCAAAUAGGUCAAUGUCAUCUUGAAGCUUUCCCUUGCCUUUGUGAUCUUGUGGUAGAAGGCCAUCUUGUGAGCUCGUUCCUUUGGAAGGAGUGGAAUGACACUUCUCUUCUUGGGGAACAAACUUGGGAGUGGGAUAUGGACUUUCUUCCCAAACAUCUCCGUUGAUGUUGAAGUAGCCAACACCUUGUUUCUUCUGAUGUCCUCCUUGCUUGUGCAUAAUUUCCUCAAAUUACUUACUUCCAGCAAGACUCUUGAAAACACCUCUCUCUAUAAUCCCUUUCAAUAGAUCAUUUGUUUUUGCUCAAGUGUAACUUGGCUAUGGGAAUAUUAGUGGAAACAAUAGAGGUACUAGCAACAACAUUAUUGGAUUUAGCUUUAGCAUUGUUGUUACUAGAUGAAGAAACCUUCUUGCCUUUGUUACUAGUGUUCCUAGCUUUAACUUGUGGAAGAAAGUUAGACAUGAGUAAUCAUUUGGCUAGAUAAGAAGAACUCUUCUUAUGAAGAUCGUCAUUGAUUGCUUUUAAGAACUCAUGCUCUUGCUCCAAGUUGAGCUUCUCAAAGCGUAGCUCUCAUGGGUUCUUGCAAGCUCUCUAUGAUAUUCUAGAGUUGUCUCAUGAGCUAACUUAAGAGUUUUUAAUUCUUGAGUUAGUCGUUCAAUUUCUU